GCAAGGGGCAAGGCUUGGCUCUGCACGGCCAGAGGCACGUCCCCGCUCAUGUGGCCACCUUCCCUGCGCUGCUGUCCUCUUCCGUGACACUCGGCCGCUCUCCGAGAGCUCUGCUUCACUGGCAAAUCUGAGCUUUCAAGUCAAUAGGGGGGAACAGACCACGAGCCACACGUACACACAGCAUACCUCCUUGGCUCCUUCCCUUAGGAAAGCCAGCUAAAAGCACUAAAGGAAAAGGGCAGCUGGCCUAUUCUUGAUAUGCUUCCCAUAUCAAUUUUUCAUUAUCUGAUGGUCCAUUCCUAUUUAUUACGAAGUUAUUGCUGCUAUUAUUUUGCUAUUAUUUACCUACAGGAGUAACAGUCACAAGCAAGAGCCUCCGUGCAGUACCCAGCAGUGAGAAGACAAAGAUUACGCCUCCCUCCAAGAGUUCACCAUCCAGCCUUCCUUGUGUUCGAGAGACUUGGACAGAUCUUGGAGCUUUUUUCCUUUAUUAGCUUUUUUCCUUUACUAGCUCAAGCACAUAGUUGGGUCUUCUAUGAAUGAUAAACAUCCCUAUCCCAUUUUCCUCUCUUCCUCUCUGCAAAUAAUCCAUGGUAGUUGUUUUUCAGCUAGGGGAUUUUAUGUGAGAAAAAUUACAAAUACAUUUCUGACUGGAGGAAGAAAAAGACUUAAAAGAGUGAUAGUAAUUAAUAAUUGGUUUAAGAACUGCAUUGGAAAGUGGGAGAACUCUAAUUAUAGCAACUGGCAUGGAGAACAGGAGAAAAGGUGAAAUCAUAGAUUAAAUUUAAAUGGCAAGAACAAUCUGGGAGGAGAAGGAGAACAUGAGGACCAGGUGCAUCAAAUCACCGAAAUCCCAGAACAGCCUCUCCCUAACCAAACUAUUCCUGUUCCCUCAAUGGAUCCCAGUGCUGCCUAUUUAUUUAAUUAUUUGGUGUUUUGCCUCAUUUGUCAGAAAGCCUCACUCCUGGAAGUUUUUUUUCUAGAAGAUCUCUACUUGGAAAGAGGUAGGGAAAAUACAAAGAAAUAAUGAAUAACUGGAUAUAUAGGUGAAAAUGGAGCAAAAAAGCCUGAGUGAUUAUGACUAGUGAUACUUAAAGACCAUGUUUUGAACUUGCUUGUGUGAUCUGGAUGCCUACUGAAAUUCCCAUAAUUUGUACCCACUUUCUGUAGCUGACUUUGAAAAUCUCAGUCCGCGGUAGCAUUUCGUGCCUGAGGCAGCGUGUCCUCACACCGCAGCAGCCUUGGCUCGUGGCUGUUGUCGUGAGCAAUAUCAAGGCACUUUGCAAACAGGGAAACAAAUUCCAUCCUCGUUUCUGUGGACAGGCUGGGUGAAGAACAAGUGACUGGGGUAAUCCGCACGACGCUAUUCGUGACAAGUGUCAGAACCAGAGUCAGGAAAAAGGGAUCACAAAUCUCCUUAUGUGGCCCUUGGUCUGCGCCCCACUGUCGACAAAUGCUACAAAUUAAAGGUGAAGGGAAUCUUGCAAUUGAAUUCAGCAGGAACAGCCCUAGACUUUUACUACGGAUUCAGUGAAACCAGGCAGAGGUUAUUCUCCAAAAAGCACCAAGUGCUGUCAGCACGAGGUUCCUGUGCUCUGCGGGGCUCUGUCCCAGAACUGGGACAGACUUAGAGGCUGUUUAAGUGGAGGGGGGUUGCUGCUUUGGCUUCACUGGGUUGCUCUUCCGUGCAUUAAAAGGACUGCUGCAUAAACAAGAUGUAUAUGGAGAUCAUGGAAGUGAUGAACAAAAGACAGGAUAUUAUAGACCAGCUUCUCUACUGAAAUGUAGUGUGAACUCAGCUUUUUCUCAUGAAUGAACAAUGAAGUGGCCAUGUUUUAUUAGCUUUACUUAAAAAUGUCUAUGAGUUGAACAACCUUUUGAGUCUUUUAACACUUCUGCAAUUUGCAGCAGCAAUGAUUUCUUUUCUUUUUUUGUUCUUUUCAAGAUACAGUAGCUAAUCUGAUCUUGGUGUUUCAGUAAUUGUCUCAGUUAAUGUGUAUGGAGAAUAGUUCCAUUCUGUGAAAUGAAUAUGAGGUGAAUAUUUAACUCAUACAAGUUUGCUACGUGAAGAACUUAUGGGACAGGCACAUGCAUUAAUUGCUAAGCUGUUAAUUUAUGAAGCUUAUAAUUUUUUUCUUAGCUUUGUUUAUCCAUUACCAAUUUCUGUAGUGAGAUUUGACAGUGGGGAACCUUGAAGUCAGGAGGAGUCCAUCAGGUCACAAGGGACUUCAUGCGUAUGUUAAGUUUCAUGUUAGUAUACCAAUGUAGGACUGGCAGCUGUACCAAAAGAUACGCUGUUCUGCCACUGCUGACACUGUAUGAGCCCAAAGGCUUCUUUUGUUAAAAAGGAUAGCACAUUCACUAAUGAUAUUGAUAUGUUUUUAAUUACCCUUAGGGGUUUUACCCAGCUUGGACUAUACCUUGGACUAAGCCCCGUGCCACAAUGGGAGCUUUGCCUGCAGGAUGAACAUAACACUCGGUGCAGGCAAAAAUGAUUUCUGAGAGAAUGAUGCUCCAAGCUGACCAGUGCUGACUCACGUCACUUACCUGCAGUGCCACUUGUUUUGGCACUGUUGCAGCCCUGACUUCUGGGCUCAGAAUAGAAUUUGAAACAGCCUCUCAAAACUGGUUAGAAUUGUUAUUUAAAGCCAAACAGUGUUAGAAUUUUAUUGUUAAUAUCGGGGGGAAUGUUACUUGCAAGGUUGUGCUUUGAUUUUUCUUCAUCUCCUGAAGCAACACGCUCACGGAAGAAUUCAUAGCCCUCUCAAAUUACACAUUACAACGAUGACUUAUUCCGCAAUCCAUUUUGAGCAUAGCUGAAAAGUGUAUUUAAUAUUGCUGUUGUUGUUUCUAUCUUUUUCUGUAUAAAGUUAGUGCUUGAUUUUAUGUGUCAUCCUCAGCUAGAAUAUAUUUGCAUAGCUCUGUUGACAUCAGUAGUGCUAUAUUGAUUUGUACUGCUUCUGUCUGCCUCAUUAUUAUUUUUAUUUUUUGUUCAAGGAGCUGGGUGUAUUUUCAAAUUCACAGAAGAUAAAAAGGGAUUGCCUUCUCAGAACCAAAUACAUACAGUGUGUGCUGAUGGGAUAUUUCAGAUUGGGGCAAGUAAACAGAGGAAGUCCUGAUGUCCAGUACCCUACCCAGCCUGGAAAGGCCUAUUGUCUUCCCGGAUUUCUUCACAGGCCUCCCUGGCCUUACAGCUUUGUAAUCAAUAUUAUUGCAACUCUGAAAGUUCUCAUUAUUCUUGGCCUCGGAGCUGCCUCAUGGCAGUGAGUUCCACAGAUUGGUUGAGUUCAUUAAUUUGUGAAAGGUAUGACUUUUUGUUCUCUAUAUAUUUCUCUUGAUGUCAUUCUGGAAACCUGUUUUCCACUGGGUUUUAACCAACCUUACUUUCAGUACUCAUCAUUAUUCUUCAACUGUUUCUUCUUUUAAAGGUCAUGGGUUUAUACUAUUCCUUGCUGGCUUACUUUGGCUGCUCCUUCCCCCUUAACUGUUUCUGUUCCAAACCUCCUUCUAGAAUAACAUUUCUAAAACAACUACUCCAGGCCCUACCUAUCACUAGUCUUCUCUUAUAGAUGUCUAAAUUACAUUGCUUAUACUAAAACUGUUUUAUUUUUACAGAACUGUUUUAAAAUCUUCUCCCAUCCACAAAAUCACCUUGGCUUUUCUUUUUUUAUUGGAAUUUUGGAUCUUAUUUGCUAUUUUUAUAAAUGUACUGUACAAGCAGGGCCAAAACAAUUACAAAAAAGUAUUUUUUCCCAUUUCCCUUGUUUUUGCAUUCUCAGCUCAAACUCCUUCUAAAAUAAAACUUAUGGUCUACAAGACAAAAGUUCAGAUCUACUUUAACUUGUAACGACCCAUCCCCUAAAAAGAGGCUAUCCCUAGAAAGCACUGCUGCCUUCACUGAGUAUCUUAUAUGGCCUAAAGUUUUAAAAACACCAUCUUAAAAAGUUAACCCCCAAAUAUAUUGCAAAUUACUCCUGUUAGAAGCAAGGUUCUUGCCAUUUCCUCACGCAAUGAAUUACUUCCCAAUUUUCAAGUUAUUUCACAAUAUCCUUUUCAGAUAGGCAUGCCAGAGGCCAGUGCUAAUAACCCCCUUUUACCAUUGUUAAUACAAUUGCAAAUUUUAUUUUGUUCUAAUCCAUAAUGAUGAUAUGGAAAUUUUAAUUGUUGCUUUUUGUCUGUAUGAACCUUUAUUUCUCCAUUACUUAGGAACAGGAAGACCACAAAGCUUUUCGUCUCAGUAGAUUACAUAUCUGUUAGCACAUGCUCAACAAGAACCCCUUCUGUGGGUGUUAGGCUUUAUAAGCUAAGAGUAUCCACUUGAGUAGCCUAAGCAGUAACCUCACCAACUCAGCAAGUCGCUAGCGCACACUCGUGCCUACAAAACAACAAAAAAAGCUAUUUUCUCAUCCCAAGUGCCAGGCAAGAUGUAUUUCUAGAGGAAAAGCUAACAGGCAGCCUAAGAACAAAUGUGCAUGGAGGUCUGCGGUAUCCUUCCUAGUAAGAUCACUUGAAAUUCUCAGCUGGAGGUAAGAACACCCUGGAGAGAGAACUUCCCGAGCGCAUGUCUGAGGUUUUGUAUAACUGUAGGGUCUACCUGCUCUCCCUCCCAAAUCAAUUAAGGUUGAUAGAAAUGCUCCUGUUGAUGCUGAAUCAGUUCCCAGAGAAGGGACAAUUUGGCUGUAUUGUACCUGAGAAGGUGACAAGUGAUUUCUAAUGCUCGAUAUAAAUACUACCCAGAAGAAAAAUGUCUUGCAGUAGAGGAUGAGUUAGAUGGAUGGCUUUUAAUCUUAUUUUUUCAGUAGAUGGGCAAAUCUAGGGAUUUGUUUCUAUAAAGAAUGUAAAAUAAAUCAUGUAUCAUUUCUGUUUUCCACAUACAUGCAUUCAACAAGAGAACAGACUGAGCAGACUUUCAGCCAUGCAAUGAAUGUCUGCAAAAACAUACCCGACUACAGGUCUCUUAAGUCACUUUAAUGGUGAUGGAUGUGCAGGAAACUAUAAUCAAUUACAUUGCCCUGAAAAUUGCAUAGUUAUUUUCCAAAAAACCCAACAGUUGUUUCAUACAGUACAGCUUAAUAUUUCUCACAAGACAGAGACCUUGUAAUAUUUGAGCUUUUCCGUAUGCACAAAUUGUAUCACUUUAACAACACCUGUACAGUUUCUUAUGUACAGUCAGAUUACAUAGGUCUGGAUACAGCUAUAAGUGAGAAAGAAGAAUCUGAAGAAAGAUAGAGAAUUGUAUUUGGUAAACAACAAAAGAUUUUAAUAGGGAGAUCUAAGGUCGGAUCUAGGAUGUGAUGUUCUCUAGCUCAAUAUUUAAGAAUCGUUAAAAACUAGCCAUGUACAUCUACAAUGAGCAGUGUGGCCUUCUGUACGAUAUGUGAUCUUCCACUAUCAGAUUACCAGCGGCUUUGUACUUCUUUCUUUUGGUUCAAACCCAUAUGCUCCAGCUUAAAAAUCACUGUAUUGCAUCCAGAUUUUGUGUGGAGAGAGGUGGCAAAGAUGUCAUGUUCCUUCUGGAAAGUGAAGGUAUACUCGAUUCUUGGUAUUUCAUGUAAUCACUUAUACUCUUAGAAAAUAGAUUAAAAAUAUUACUUGACCGGAGUGGCCUAAGUGUUAGGGUACAGAGUAAACAACAUAUUAUGCAAUCAAGUGGAGAACCAUCCCUUGUGAGUUCAAGCAGUCUAGAGGGAGACUGUUGUAAAAACACACCAUGAAGAACAUAGCCUGUGUUCCAAAACAUGUUGUAGCCCUUCUUGAUAUCGCAGUAAAGAAAUGAUUAGCAGUUACAGCAGGCAGUAAGAGGCAAACCUUGUAUUCCAAGAUAAGGUUCUUCUAGAGAUGGCCUAUUAAGUGAUUUCCCUUUCUCUCUUCCCCCUUCCAGCCCUUCCUCCCUGCAAAUAUUUCAAACUGUGCAAGAGCCUGCUCAGCUGGCAGACAGAAGAGAACCAGUGCUGCUCCUCCAGAGCCCUUUGUACUUCUCUGCCCCAGGUUUGCUUCUCUUCCUCACCUCUGCUGCUGUUUAUCCCUUGCUCCUCUUUUCCACCCUUCUUCCUUCCCAGGAAAUCUCCUAAUCCUAACAGGUCUCUGUUUCUAAAGUUUCCCCCUUAAACCAGAGUGUGCAGCCACACACGUGCUUUUCCUUCUGCACCCGCUCCCCCAGCCACUGCUCCUGGACCAGGGACAGAGAAGCACCAGGUGGGAAGGGUGACAAUAAGAACAAGCUCAGGAAGUAAAUGUGUUAGUUCUGCAAUCCUUUUUGGUCCUGAAGAGAUGCGGACGAUAUGCCCUAACGUGGCCCCUCCACGCAGCAGAGACGGGAAACCUGCAGAGCGCAGAUGGAGAGAGGAAAGCAGGAAGAGAGGAAGAGGAAGGCAAAUGGAUGCACACCAAAUGGGAAGAGCUGUGUACGGGAAGGGCAAGGGUAGCCAAGUCCACUCUUGAGUAGCUGAAAAAUAAAGCAGAAAGUCCCUGUG